UAAUUCUAGAGCUAAUACAUGCUGGUAUGCCCGACUUUUGCGGAAGGGCGGUAUUUAUUAGAUAACAAGCCAAUAUUCCUCUGGUCUAUUGUGGUGACUCAUAAUAACUGAUCGAAUCGCAAGGCCUUUGGCCGCGAUAAAUCAUUCAAGUUUCUGCCCCAUCAGCUUUCGAUGGUAGUGUAUUGGACUACCAUGGCGUUUACGGGUAACGGAGGAUUAGGGUUCGAUUCCGGAGAGGGAGCCUGAGAAACGGCUACCACAUCUAAGGAAGGCAGCAGGCGCGUAAAUUACCCAAUCCUGACUCAGGGAGGUAGUGACAAGAAAUAACGGACCGGUUCCUUCGGAUUCGGGAUU
rnacentral:rRNA from 1 species